UUGCAGGCUGCAACUCGCCUGCAUGAAGUCGGAAUUGCUAGUAAUCGUGGAUCAGCAUGCCACGGUGAAUACGUUCCCGGGCCUUGUACACACCGCCCGUCACACCAUGAGAGUCGGGAACACCCGAAGUCCGUAGUCUAACCGCAAGGAGGGCGCGGCCGAAGGUGGGUCUGAUAAUUGGGGUGAAGUCGUAACAAGGUAUC
rnacentral:rRNA from 1 species